GGGCACUACUUUUCACCAGAGAUCAAUGGGUAGGGCACUACUUUUCACCAGAGAUCAAUGGGUAGGGCACUACUUUUCACCAGAGAUCAAUGGGUAGGACACUACUUUUCACCAGAGAUCAAUGGGUAGGGCACUACUUUUCACCAGAGACCAAUGGGUAGGGCACUACUUUUCACCAGAGACCAAUGGGUAGUGCACUACUUUUCACCAGAGACCAAUGGGUAGGGCACUACUUUUCACCAGAGACCAAUGGGUAGUGCACUACUUUUCACCAGAGACCAAUGGGUAGGGCACUACUUUUCACCAGAGACCAAUGGGUAGGGCACUACUUUUCACCAGAGACCAAUGGGUAGUGCACUACUUUUCACCAGAGACCAAUGGGUAGGGUACUACUUUUCACCAGAGACCAAUGGGUAGGGCACUACUUUUCACCAGAGACCAAUGGGUAGUGCACUACUUUUCACCAGAGACCAAUGGGUAGGGCACUACUUUUCACCAGAGACCAAUGGGUAGUGCACUACUUUUCACCAGAGACCAAUGGGUAGGGCACUACUUUUCACCAGAGACCAAUGGGUAGGGCACUACUUUUCACCAGAGACCAAUGGGUAGUGCACUAUAUAGCAAAUUGGGUGCAGUUUAGGAUGUGUACUUUGUCCUUUUCACACUUCAUCUAUAAGAAAUAAGACCACAAAACAUUUCUACUAGGAUGUAAACAUAUACAUCAAUCUCCAAUGUUAAAACAAGCUGUUAAAAUAACGCCACACAUUGUUUAAGUUGCACAAACGUCAGUGAAGAUGAAGAGGUGAUAGAGAGAGUAGAGACCACAGAUAACAGAGACGUGAUAGAGUAGAGACCACAGAUAACAGAGAGGUGAUAGAGAGAGUAGAGACCACAGAUAACAGAGAGGUGAUAGAGAGAGUAGAGACCACAGAUAACAGAGAGGUGAUAGAGAGAGUAGAGACCACAGAUAACAGAGACGUGAUAGAGAGAGUAGAGACCACAGAUAACAGAGAGGUGAUAGAGAGAGUAGAGACCACAGAUAACAGAGCAUCCCUGUGUCCAGUCCACAGUAUAUACCAAGGCCAGAGAGCUACCGUCUUGUAGGUUUCAUUGCCAACCCUAAUCUAGAACACCUGAUUCUAAUAAUGAGCUGGUUGAUAAGCUGAUAAACUGAAUCAGGUUAGUUACAACUGGGGACGGUAGCCCUCCAGGAACAGCGUUGGAGAACCCUGGUGGACCCAGUAAUGUUCCUCCAGGAACAGCAUUGGAGAACCCUGGUGGACCCAGUAACGUUCCUCCAGGAACAGCAUUGGAGAACCCUGGUGGACCCAGUAAUGUUCCUCCAAGAACAGCAUUGGAGAACCCUGGUGGACCCAGUAAAGUUCCUCCAGGAACAGCAUUGGAGAACCCUGGUGGACCCAGUAACGUUCCUCCAGGAACAGCAUUGGAGAACCCUAGUGGACCCAGUAACGUUCCUCCAGGAACAGCAUUGGAGAACCCUGGUGGACCCAGUAACGUUCCUCCAAGAACAGCAUUGGAGAACCCUGGUGGACCCAGCAACACUCCUCCAGGAACAGCAUUGGAGAACCCUGGUGGACCCAGUAAUGUUCCUCCAGGAACAGCAUUGGAGAACCCUGGUGGACCCAGUAAUGUUCCUCCAGGAACAGCAUUGGAGAACCCUGGUGGACCCAGCAACACUCCUCCAGGUUCUUUUUCCUAACGAGCACGAUUCAUCUGAACCAAUCACAAUCCUGAUGAUUGGUAGAAUGAAGUGUGAAUCAGCCAAUCAAGGUCCUGAUGAGCAGCAGCUGAUUAGGUAAAAUCAGGUGUGUUAGCACAGGUCUAGAGAAAAAGCCUGCACCGCAUGCUCUCCAGGAAGCAGACUAGUCACACCGCAGUAGACAGGACCAAUUAGCAGCUAGUGGCCACAAAGAGCUGAUUGGACAAGGAAGAUGGGGCGGGGCGACUGUGGAUGAGACCAGCUCAUUCCGCCCCCUACUUAAGGCCAAAACCAGCUAGUGUUACUAUCAACGAGGAGGAGGAAGAGAAGGAGGAGGACAAAGAUGAGGGAGAAGGAGGAAGAGGAAGGGGGAGGAGACUGACGGUUCUGUCUGUCUCUCUAUCUAUCUGGACUCUGAGCCGAACGGAGCCGAGCAGAACCGAAAAAAUGAUGAGACGCGCAUCAUCUGUCAGUUUGGAUUAAACUCAGUCUAAUCGCUGUGAAAUGACCGAGGAGAAAGAAGACGUCAUUGCUGUCACUGACACUGAAACUAACUCGGCCUGCGAGUCAGUCAGAGAUGACAAUGGGGACUAAGGAGCUUUCAACCUGGGCUGGCGCACAGUGCCCUACUUGCCACUUUAAGGACCUUUCAACCAGGGCUGGUGCACAGUGCCCUACUGCCUCUUUAAGGAACUUUCAACCAGGGCUGGAGCACAGUGCCCUACUGCCUCUUUAAGGAACUUUCAACCAGGGCUGGAGCACAGUGCCCUACUGCCUCUUUAAGGAACUUUCAACCAAGGCUGGAGCACAGUGCCCUACUGCCUCUUUAAGGAACUUUCAACCAGGGCUGGAGCACAGUGCCCUACUUGCCACUUUAAGGAACUUUCAACCAGGGCUGGUGCACAGUGCCCUACUGCCUCUUUAAGGAACUUUCAACCAGGGCUGGAGCACAGUGCCCUACUGCCUCUUUAAGGAACUUUCAACCAGGGCUGGAGCAC
ensembl:lncRNA